GAUGAACGCUGGCGGCGUGCCUAAUACAUGCAAGUCGAGCGAACGGACGAGAAGCUUGCUUCUCUGAUGUUAGCGGCGGACGGGUGAGUAACACGUGGAUAACCUCCCUAUAAGACUGGGUUAACUUCGGGAAACCGGAGCUAAUACCGGAUGAUAUUUUGAACCGCAUGGUUCAAAAGUGAAAGACGGUCUUGCUGUCACUUAUAGAUGGAUCCGCGCUGCAUCAGCUAGUUGGUAAGGUAACGGCUUACCAAGGCAACGAUGCAUAGCCGACCUGAGAGGGUGAUCGGCCACACUGGAACGGAGACACGGUCCAGACUCCUACGGGAGGCAGCAGUAGGGAAUCUUCCGGAAUGGGCGAAAGCCGGACGGAGCAGCGCCGCGGGAGUGAUGAAGGUCUUCGGAUCGUAAAACUCUGUUAUCAGGAAAGAACAUAUGUGUAAGUAACUGUGCACAUCUUGACGGUAGCUAAGCAGAAAGCCACGGCUAACUACGUG
rnacentral:rRNA from 1 species